rnacentral:piRNA from 1 species
UUCCUCUUCUCUAAAAAUCAU